rnacentral:rRNA from 1 species
GACGGAGGGGGCUAGCGUUGUUCGGAAUUACUGGGCGUAAAGAGCGCGUAGGCGGUUCAGCAAGUUGGAAGUGAAAGCCCGGGGCUUAACCUCGGAAUUGCUUUCAAAACUGUUGAGCUAGAGUGUGGUAGAGGAUGAUGGAAUUCCUAGUGUAGAGGUGAAAUUCUUAGAUAUUAGGAGGAACACCGGUGGCGAAGGCGGUCAUCUGGGCCAUUACUGACGCUGAGGCGCGAAAGCGUGGGGAGCAAACAGG